rnacentral:rRNA from 1 species
UAGGGAAUCUUCCACAAUGGGCGGAAAGCCUGAUGGAGCAACGCCGCGUGUGUGAUGAAGGGUUUCGGCUCGUAAAACACUGUUGUAAGAGAAGAAUGACAUUGAGAGUAACUGUUCAAUGUGUGACGGUAUCUUACCAGAAAGGAACGGCUAAAUACGUGCCAA